rnacentral:tRNA from 1 species
GUGGAUGUAGCUCAGCUGGCAGAGCACCGGGUUGUGGCCCCGGUUGUCGUGGGUUCAAGUCCCAUCAUCCACCCCA